rnacentral:lncRNA from 1 species
AAGGUGACCCAAUUCUUGCAUAACCUUAGGAAUAUGAAUCAUGUUCUGGGCUCUGCUUAUUUUGAGUGUACUAAUACUUCCUUUCGUAGAAAUUGACCUGUUGUGAUAAUUGUAGUCUUGUUAAUUUGAAUAGUACUGGUUAAGAAAGACUGAAACUUCUAUCCACGAUAGUGUAAGAGAAAUUCUCUAAAAGUUCUUUUAGAAUUUUGUUGCGAAGUAAUAAUUUUAGCUCCAGGGAAGAAAUAAAAGGUGGAUUAUGUUGGGUACGACGUGCUUGACCAGAAUAGACGAUGCAAUAUUAUUUUGAGUGUACUAAUACUUCCUUUCGUAGAAAUUGACCUGUUGUGAUAAUUGUAGUCUUGUUAAUUUGAAUAGUACUGGUUAAGAAAGACUGAAACUUCUAUCCACGAUAGUGUAAGAGAAAUUCUCUAAAAGUUCUUUUAGAAUUUUGUUGCGAAGUAAUAAUUUUAGCUCCAGGGAAGAAAUAAAAGGUGGAUUAUGUUGGGUACGACGUGCUUGACCAGAAUAGACGAUGCAAUAAACUAGAUUUUAGUUUCGUUUGAGUACUACCCAAUCCACAAUAACAUUGCUAAAAUGUUAACCACAACAACAGAUGAAGCCCUAUUUCCAAUAAAUUUUGAACUUGAUUACAUUCUUCUUCCUCAUUUCUGGCAUAAAUUUAGCUCACACUGCACAUUAUUAUAUUCAAUCUUUAGAGUAAAAAUUCAAUCUGUCACUAGGUAAAGCAAGUGUACGCAAGUGCUUUAAGCUGUGUUUAUAUCAUUAUUUUAUGUUGCCACGUUUAAUUUUUUGUAGGGAG